GUGAGUAACCUGCUUCUCCAGUUGGGCAGGACUUUGGGAUUCCCCUGGAUGAGACUCCUGGGUAGGAUAGAUCCCCUGAUAUUACUGUUGGAUCACACCGAAUGAGAUAACCAAAUUUUCCUUCUCAUGGUGCCACUUACAAAGGGCUUCUGAAUAAUUAUCUGUUUGAUCCUUACACCAACCCUAGGAGGUGAAGCUACUAAUGUUAUCCCCAAUUUAAAGAUGUGAAAACUGAGACUCACGGAAACUAGGUGACUUGUCUAGGGUCACACAGCCAGGAAACGUCAAGGACCGGCUCUUCAGGGAAGGACAUCCCCACAACCAGGACCCCUGGCAAAGAGGAAUUAAAGACCCAGUUGUGUUGUGAUGUUCAUUAUUCAGAUCUCGGAGCGCUCACGGAUCUCUUGGAUGUCCCCUGCCAGCUCAACUGAUGAGACUGCUACUUUAUGUACCACUGCUUGAAAAAGAAGGGAAUCUCCUAUUUCUCACACAGGAUAACAGUUGAGAGUCAUUGCCACAAUAAAACAGACAUGUUAGCGGUCAGGUUCAUAUAAGGACUAAGCGGCCCCAUGAAUCACAUAGGACUGGCUAAUCCUAGGACACUCCUCUCUGUGGUUUGCUAGGUAGCAGAGAGGGGAAGCUAAAUAGUAGUUUCUAAUAACAACUGGGAAGGCUUUUUCUUUUUAAAUAAAAAUGGAAUUGGCAUAAUUGGGAAUGAAGAUAAAGCUUGGAACCAAGUUAGAGAAGGCAAAGUGUACGUAGAAGAGCUGUUACAAAUAUAAAACUUGGCUGCGUUCUUUGUGAAGGCUCAAACUUGGGAAGGUUAAAUACCAUAAAUUUUUUCAUUUGUUCUGUAUUUUGAUCCUGAAAAGAAAGCUGGCUUUGCCCAUGUAUUACUUUAAAAACUUGGGGGAAAGGAGAAGAAAGGGACAAGUUUUUAAAAACUGUUUGAAAACAUUACAGCUGAAAGAAGCUACAUAGGAGCUGGGUAGAGAACCUAGUGACUAAGAGAAUGAGGAAUGCCGAGUACGCAUCCUGUGGGCGGGGCUCUACCCUUGCCGCUUUCAGGUGAUAAAUGGCAAUUCAGCUUCAACCUGGAUUACAGGAAUAGCCAUUGUUUUAGACUUCAACUGUCACGUAAGCAGUUCAGCUGAACUGAGGCACCAUGACGUGAGGAAGCCCAAAGUCAGCCUAUCUGGAGGGAUCACAUGGAGAGGUCCCAAGACUACACAAAAAGAAGAUGAUAUGAAUGCCUGGCCAGCCCCUAGCUGCUCUAGUUCCUUGCUGUUCCAGCUCCAGCCAUCAUCCAACUGCAACUGCAUGAGAGACCCCAGAAGCAUAGAGCUAAGCCCUUCCCAAAUUCCUUCCCACAGAAACCCUGAGAGAUAAUAAAUGACUGUUGUUGUUUUCAAUCACUGUUUUGAAAUUGGUUGUUAGGCAGCAAGAGAAGCCAGAACAGGGACCUUGGAAUACACAGAAUUUCUUAAUCAGGAUACAAAAAGA
rnacentral:lncRNA from 1 species